rnacentral:misc_RNA from 1 species
CAAACACUGGAACAUUCAUCCCUUCACAUUUGACCGAACCACAAUGAAUCAAACCAUACUUCCAAGUAGCCUCCCCCCAACCUCCCAAUCUUGCAAUCCCACCAAAGCCCCCCAUCCUACUCAAUUCCAUAUGUACCUUUCUACAAAAACAAUAUUGUUAAUUGAAAUUUAUCCAUAAAUGGCAAUACACAACAAAAAGAAGAAAGGAAUAGGAUUAAUGAAUCUAUCCUUGAUUGGCCAUCGUGAGAUGAUGUGCUGCCAUGUGAUAUCUCCUUUUGCCUCACUUGUUUUAUCACUCCGUCCCCUGUCUGUGUGGAUAGUGACACUAGGUGGUUG